UACGUAGGGUGCGAGCGUUGUCCGGAAUUAUUGGGCGGAAAGGGCUCGUAGGCGGUUUGUCGCGUCGGGAGUGAAAACCCAGGGCUUAACUCUGGGCUUGCUUUCGAUACGGGCAGACUAGAGGUAUGCAGGGGAGAACGGAAUUCCUGGUGUAGCGGUGAAAUGCGCAGAUAUCAGGAGGAACACCGGUGGCGAAGGCGGUUCUCUGGGCAUUACCUGACGCUGAGGAGCGAAAGUGUGGGGAGCGAACAGG
rnacentral:rRNA from 1 species